rnacentral:lncRNA from 1 species
UAUAAUUGUUUGGUGGAAGUCAGAUUGUCCAACGAUUGCAAUGAAAGGCGCUCAGCUUUUGUUAAUUGAUACAUGCGAUAGCAACUUCACAUGACACUACUUAAACAAAUUUGUUGACUCGUAAGAAUAAGUUGCUUUUGGGGGUUUGCGCCAUUCGCAACUAUUUGAUAAAUGUGUAGUUAAGAAAAUCUUGGUUUGGUUAUCUAAAAUGGCGCGAGCUUCUCAUCCAAACUUUUUCUUUAAAGCCAUUUUAGAGACCAAUAGUGAACUGAUUAUUGUAUUAAAGAUAUAGUAUUGCAGCAGUAAAAUGUUAACAUUAACGUAAUCAGUGCACUCAAUUUUGUUAAAACAUAAGCACAAACGCAAUGAUAAAAGGCAUUGCUGAACUUGGCUGAUCUUUUUUCUUAUUUCUCUUCUUUUUUUGUUUUUUUUUUGGAAUAGGUAGAAAAUCAAUUAGGAAACGUCUGCUAUGCCACCAGGUGUAAUCACAUAACUGCACUCGGCUUCAGGCAUAUCUGGAGAAUCAUUCAAUUUUGCGACACGUUCCUCACCUCGACCUUUUCUUAACAGCAGACGGGUCGCGCUUGCGUGAGCCAUGACAUGGCCUCCUACAGGUUUUCGAUCGUUGGACGCAAACAUCAUUGCUGCUCCGGGGUCUGCUUGAACCUGAUUUGUGACAAAGACCGCUACGUUAAACUCUUCAGAAAUAUGAUUUAAUCUAGCAAGCAUAAUGUUUAAUUUUUGUUGCCUUUCUGAUAAUUCCCCGCGACCCGAAUAGUCAACCCGAAAUAGUGCCAUGAUGGAAUCGACAAUUAACAAACGGUAUUGGCCAUCUUCAGCAAAAAUGGUUCCUAAUUUUGUGAUGUAUUCCAUUUGUUGCUCAGAGUUGUAUGCUCUACUGACAAUGAUAUUCUCCAUAGCCUGAUCGGCGUCUACACCAAAUCGUUCUGCAAUGGCUUUGAUUCGAUCAGGUCGAAAUGUUCCUUCUGUAUCUAUGAAUGCUACUUUUCCUUCGGCCCCGCCCAUAUCUCGAGGAAGCUGGGCAGUGACACACAAUGUAUGCGACAUUUGUGUUUUACCACAACGAAACUCUCCAAAUACUUCUGUAAUACUCAUCGACUGAAUUCCCCCUCCAAGGAUGCCAUUGAGUGCCUCGGAUCCUGUCGAAAUACUCCAUACUUUUUUACGAUUUUGACUGAUUUCCAUCGCAGUGGAAAAGUUUGCUGGGCACAUUUUUGAUGCCGCUUCCUUCAGUUUAUCCACUUUGGCUUCGCUGAAACCUUUGAUUUUAAGGAGAAAUCUCUUUGUGGACAUAUGGACUCCUUGCACCGUACAAACGCCUGCUUGCUUCAAUUUUAUGAUAUCGGUCAUACCAAUCCCUUUGAUUAUGUUAGUAGAUAUUUAAAGCAAAUACUGGGAGUCUUAUAACUGCCGUAUACUCAUUCAAGCUUACCGUGAGCAGUUAGGUCUUCAAUGUCACUAAAUAUCAUUUGUUCAUCAUCAUUCCCCUCUGCGAAUUCUUCCAUUGCACUUUAUUUUUAUAUUGAACGUGUAUUAAUCAAAUUACACGGUUUUUGGUUGUUGUUCGUACUAUGUAGAAAGAAGAAUUGCUGUAGUUAUCCACGAUAUAUAUAUUGCGGAAAUUCCCAAAAUUACCUCUCUAAAUCAC